UACCUGGUUGAUUCUGCCAGUAGUCAUAUGCUUGUCUCAAAGAUUAAGCCAUGCAUGUCUAAGUAUAAGCAAUCAUACUGUGAAACUGCGAAUGGCUCAUUAAAUCAGUUAUCGUUUAUUUGAUAGUACCUUUACCUGGAUAACCGUGGUAAUUCUAGAGCUAAUACAUGCUAAAAACCCCGACUUCGGGAGGGGUGUAUUUAUUAGAUAAAAAACCAAUGCCCUCUGGGCUCCUUGGUGAWUCAUAAUAACUUMACGAAUCGCAUGGCCUUGCGCCGGCGAUGGUUCAUUCAAAUUUCUGCCCUAUCAACUUUCGAUUGUAAGAUAGAGGCUUACAAUGGUCUUAACGGGUAACGGGGAAUUAGGGUUCUAUUCCGGAGAGGGAGCCUGAGAAACGGCUACCACAUCCAAGGAAGGCAGCAGGCGCGCAAAUUACCCAAUGCURAUYCAGCGAGGUAGUGACAAUAAAUACYGAUACGGGGCUCUUUCGGGUCUCGUAAUUGGAAUGAGUACAAUCUAAAUCCCUUAACGAGGAACAAUUGGAGGGCAAGUCUGGUGCCAGCAGCCGCGGUAAUUCCAGCUCCAAUAGCGUAUAUUAAAGUUGUUGCAGUUAAAAAGCUCGUAGUUGAACCUUGGGCCUGGCUGGCCGGUCCGCCUCACCGCGUGCACUGGUCCGGCCGGGCCUUUCCUUCUGGGGAGCCGCAUGCCCUUCACUGGGUGUGCCGGGGAACCAGGACUUUUACUUUGAAAAAAUUAGAGUGUUCAAAGCAGGCCUAUGCUCGGAUACAUUAGCAUGGAAUAAUCGAAUAGGACGUGGGGUUCUAUUUUGUUGGUUUCUAGGACCGCCGUAAUGAUUAAUAGGGAUGGUCGGGGGCAUCAGUAUUCAAUUGUCAGAGGUGAAAUUCUUGGAUUUAUUGAAGACUAACUACUGCGAAAGCAUUUGCCAAGGAUGUUUUCAUUAAUCAGGGAACGAAAGUUAGGGGAUCGAAGACGAUCAGAUACCGUCGUAGUCUUAACCAUAAA
rnacentral:ncRNA from 1 species